GACGAACGCUGGCGGCGUGCUUAACACAUGCAAGUCGAGCGGAGCGGCGAACGGGUGCGUAACGCGUGAGUAACUGCCCCCCUCUCUGGGAUAACAGUUGGAAACGGCUGCUAAUACCGGAUAGUGGGGGAUGACUCGCGUCCUAUCAGCUUGUUGGUGGGGUAGGUGCCUACCAAGGCGAAGACUGGUAGCCGGCCUGAGAGGGCGACCGGCCACAUUGGGCUGUGAGACGGCGCCAAGUUCAACUGGAGGCAGCAGUGUGGAAUAUUUGACAAUGGGGGAAACCCUGAUGCAGCAACGCCGCGUGCGGGAUGACGGCCUUCGGGUUGUAAACCGCUUUCAGUCAUGACGCGGUAGUGGCAGAAGAAGCACCGGCUAACUCCGUGCCAGCCGCCGCGGUAAUUC
rnacentral:rRNA from 1 species